rnacentral:rRNA from 1 species
CCUACGGGAGGCAGCAGUGAGGAAUAUUGGUCAAUGGACGAGAGUCUGAACCAGCAAAGUAGCGUGAAGGAAGACUGCCCUAGGGGUGGUAAACUUCUUUUAUAAAGGAAUAAAACGAGGCACGUGUGCCUGUGUGCAUGUACGUUAUGAAUAAGGAUCGGCUAACUCCGUGCCAGCAGCCGCGGUAAUACGGAGGAUGCGAGCGUUAUCCGGAUUUAUUGGGUUUAAAGGGAACGUAGAUGGGUUGUUAAGUCAGUUGUGAAAGUUUGCGGCUCAACCGUAAAAUUGCGUUUGAUACUGGCAGUCUUGAGUACAGUUGAGGUAGGUGGAAUUCGUGGUGUAGCGGUGAAAUGCUUAGAUAUCUCGAAGAACCCCGAUUGCGAAGGCAGCUUACUAAACUGUGACUGACAUUGAUGCUCGAAAGUGUGGGUAUCAAACAGGAUUAGAUACCCCUGUAGUC